CACCCCUCAAGCCCGGCUUGGUGUUGGGCCCGGCCCGUCCGGCCGGCCCCAAAGACAGUGGCGGCGCCGCCUGGCCCGAAGCGUAGUACAGCUCUCGCUCCAGGGUCGUGCGGUGGCCUGCCAGAACCCCAACUCUGU
rnacentral:misc_RNA from 1 species